GGCAACUGGAAACCCCUUGACUGUGCAGCUGGGGAGAUGUCGGCCCCUCUCUGUCAUACCCUACAGGGACAUCCCGGGCUCUCGUACUGAGGUUAUGAAAAGUCUGUGCAGUUGGGGGGCUGUCGGCCCCUCUCUGCUGUCCCCUACAGGGACACCCCGGGCUCUCGUACUGAGGUUAUGAAAAGUCUGUGCAGUUGGGGGGCUGUCGGCCCCUCUCUGCUAUCCCCUACAGGGACACCCUGGGCUCUCGUACUGAGGUUAUGAAAAGUCUGCGCAGUUGGGGGGCUGUCGGCCCCUCUCUGCUGUCCCCUACAGGGACACCCUGGGCUCUCGUACUGAAGUUAUGAAAAGUCUG
rnacentral:lncRNA from 1 species